GCCACGCGCGUCCUCUUCCACCUGCGCCAAAAGUUGAGAGGCAUGGCCUUGGCGCGCCGCUGACCCUCGGCAA
rnacentral:tRNA from 1 species